ensembl:snRNA U6 U6 spliceosomal RNA
GUGCUCACUCCGGCAACACAUAUACUAAAAUUGGAAUGAUGCAGAGUAGAUUAGCAUGGCCUCUGUGCAAGGAUGACAUGCAAAUUUGUGAAGUGUUCCAUAUUAAA